rnacentral:tRNA from 1 species
GGAGGGAUGGCAGAGUGGUUGAAUGUACCGGUCUCGAAAACCGGCGUAGGUUAAUAGCCUACCCAGGGUUCGAAUCCCUGUCCCUCCG